rfam:Parcubacteria (Kaiserbacteria) bacterium GW2011_GWA2_49_56 TY46_C0008, whole genome shotgun sequence.
UCCGGCGUAGCCGGAUGGUAGAGCACCCGUUUUGUAAACGGAAGACGUGGGUCCGAUUCCCUCCACCGGCU